rnacentral:rRNA from 1 species
AUACGGAGGAUCCGAGCGUUAUCCGGAUUUAUUGGGUUUAAAGGGAGCGUAGGUGGAUUGUUAAGUCAGUUGUGAAAGUUUGCGGCUCAACCGUAAAAUUGCAGUUGAAACUGGCAGUCUUGAGUACAGUAGAGGUGGGCGGAAUUCGUGGUGUAGCGGUGAAAUGCUUAGAUAUCACGAAGAACUCCGAUUGCGAAGGCAGCUCACUAGAAGGCAAAUGACACUGAUGCUCGAAAGUGUGGGUAUCAAACAGGAUUAGAUACCCUGGUAGUCCACACAGGAAACGAUGAAUACUCGCUGUUUGCGAUAUACAGUAAGCGGCCAAGCGAAAGCAUUAAGUAUUCCACCUGGGGAGUACGCCGGCAACGGUGAAACUCAAAGGAAUUGACGGGG